ensembl:lncRNA
AUCUGGAUGGAAUUCCAGACGAAGUAAUCAGAUUUCUGAGGAGCUGUACAGAACAUGGACCAGAAUAACCAGGAGGAACUGAAGCUUCAUGGAUCAGAUGUAGGGUUAGAACUGUAGAGGGGUGGAUGGAGGCCAGGAGAUGAAAUGAGCAGAAGAACCAGAGCAGAGCUGCUCCUGAACUACAGGAACUCACCUUUAACUGUUUCCUCUGAGUGGAAGCUUGAAGACCACAAACCUUCUGGAUCUCUGAUGGAUUUAACUGUCAGUAAAUCACAGAUCACUGGUUCAUCUACAGGAAGGUUCCACAUUUAAACUUUAUUCACCACUGGUGGAACAGAAUCACACAACGAGAAACGGAACCGACAUCAGUUCAACACGUUUAACCCACAGACCUGCUGCAGGUCCAUCAAACAUCUGGAAUAAGAACAGGUUCAUCAAACAUCUGGAAUAAGAAAAGUUUCAAUAAACAUCAGGAAUAAGAACAACUUCAAUAAACAUCUGGAAUAACAACAGGUUCAAUAAACAUCUGGAAUAACAACAGGUUCAAUAAACAUCUGGAAUAACAACAGGUUCAUCAAACAUCUGGAAUAAGAAAAGGUUCAAUAAACAUCUGGAAUAAGAACAAGUUCAAUAAACAUCUGGAAUAAGAACAGACUGAAAAGCAGCUGUAUGAAACAUCUGGAAUAAUAAUAACAGACUGAACAGCAGCUUUAUGAAACAUCUAGAAUAAGAGCUUCAUCAAACAUCUGGAAUAAUAACAGACUGAACAGCAGCUGUAUGAAACAUCUGGAAUAAGAACAGACUGAAAAGCAGCUGUAUGAAACAUCUGCAGCUGAUCUGAGACCAGCAACCUGCUCCAGAUGUUCUAGUGUGUCAGUUUCCUGGUUCUAUGUAGAGCUCUAACAGACAUGGAGCCUCCUGAUAAUAAUCUAGAUCUAGAACAGUGGAGGUGUUGACAGCUGAUGCUGAACUGUUUGUGGAACAGUCUGAACUCUGGUGAUUCUAAUGCUUCAUGUGCGGGGAACCAGAAAUCAGCAGCAGAUGUAGAAAUAUUUCCAUCAGAGCUUCAGGAGGAUCAGGAAUGUCCAGGUUCUGAAAUAUGAAAUAUGACUGUCUUUGUUUAGUCAGGAGAUGAGCAGCAACAAGUCCCGGAAGGACCCAGCUUCAGUUCAUCCUCAUUAGUUCCUCGGGUUCCAGGUCUGACGGUUCUCCUGUGAAUCCUGCAGCUGGAGCAGCAGAGGUCUACUGGUGGUCGUGGCAGAGCAGCGUCUCACAGGAAGCUGCUGCCUCAGCAGAAGAAACAGGAAGUGCCUUCCAGACGAGGGCGCCGCAGUGGGAACACUUUGGAAAGGGAACCAGCAUGAGCUUUUCUCCAUCUUCCUCCUGCAGCUCCAGCUGGAAGGACUGUUGGUGGUGGUACUGGUUGAGGUGGUACUGGUCAGCUGCUGUCCAUGUCUCCUGACUGACGGCGUCUCCGGACAGUCCAGCGUCUCCAGCUUCCUCUGACCGUGCAGCUCGUCGCAUGGCCUGGCGUGCGGCGUUUCUUGCGAGUCGAGCGCGUCGCUCCUCGUAAGACUCGGCCGCUCGGCGUCUGGCCUGCCGUGCCGCGUUGUCAGCCAGACGGGCGUAACGUUCUUCGUAGGACUCAGCGGCAAGGCGUCUGGCUUUGGAGGCAGCGUUGUUGGCCAGGCGAAGGUAUCGAGCUUCUUCUGACUCCGUCGCUCGAGCAAAUCUACGAUUCAACCGAUCUCGAGCUCUACGAAUUUCUCGCACUUCCUCCGACUCGGCUGCUCGAGCGUAUCUGCGACUCAAACGGUCACGAGCUUGACGAGCUUCUCGAGUUUCGUCCGACUCAGCUGCUCGAGCUCGUUUGCGACGCAACCAAUCAUGAGCUUGACGAGCUCGACGAGCUUCUCGAGCUUCGUCUGACUCGGUUGCUCGAGUGAGUCUCUGACGCAACCUAUCACGAGCUCGACGAGCUUCUCGAGCUUCCUCUGACUCGGCUGCUCUAGCAAGUCGCAUGGCGUUGCGGUUUUGCAGCCUCUUGGCUUGGCUGUCUUUGGGCAUGUUGGCAUCAGAAGAUCAG